UACAGAGGGUGCAAGCGUUGUUCGGAAUCACUGGGCGUAAAGAGCUCGUAGGCGGUUUGUCGCGUCUGCCGUGAAAGUCCGGGGCUCAACUCCGGAUCUGCGGUGGGUACGGGCAGACUAGAGUGAUGUAGGGGAGACUGGAAUUCCUGGUGUAGCGGUGAAAUGCGCAGAUAUCAGGAGGAACACCGAUGGCGAAGGCAGGUCUCUGGGCAUUAACUGACGCUGAGGAGCGAAAGCGUGGGAGCGAACAGG
rnacentral:rRNA from 1 species